rnacentral:SRP_RNA from 1 species
GCUGGGCAUGGUGGCACAUGUCUGUGAUCCCAUCUACUCAGGAAGCUGAGAUGGGAGGAUCGCUUGAGCCCGGGAGCUCUAGGCUGUGGUGCACUAUGAUUGCACCAGUUAACAGCCACUGCACUUCAGCCUGGGCAACAUAGCGAGUCCCCGUCUCUA